AAACUCCAAUCAAGCGAGUUAAGCUUCUCACCCAUUUAAAGUUUGAGAAUAGGUUGAGGAUGAUUUCUCCCCAAUGCCUCUAAUCAUUCGCUUUACCGGAUAAAACUGUUUAUUUCUCAGAAUGCCAGCUAUCCUGAGGGAAACUUCGGAGGGAACCAGCUACUAGUUAGUUCGAUUAGUCUUUCGCCCCUAUACUCACGUUAUACGAUCGAUUUGCACGUCAGAAUCGCUACGGUCCUCCACCAGAGUUUCCUCUGGCUUCAACCUUCACAAGUAUAGUUCACCAUCUUUCGGGUCUCAACGUGUACGCUCUUGCUCCGCCCCGACGGUGCACACAACACGAGGUCACAUGUCUACGUCAUGGGACGGGCCGGUGAUGGGCCCGCUGCUCGCAACUUGGAAAGUAUGAGCAAGACAACAGGAUCUCACCUUAGUCCGGACAAGCCGAACCUUUACCUUCACUUCGCCUUUGGGUUUCGUAACGCCCAAUGACUCGCGCACAUGUUAAACUCCUUGGUCCGUGUUUCAAGACGGGUCAGGUGGAUCGUCUACCACUACACCACAGACUAUUGGCCCAAUGCAAACCACACACGCAACCGCCGACGUGACAAAACCAAGCCAUCAGCCGACCAGCCGAAGCUAGUAACAAACCGACCACACUCAGCAAUGCCCGAAGGUCUAAGCACGCAUGCGAAGCCGCCAUCUCCGACACACCGCACAGAUCCACUACAGCCAGUUAGUAACACUCACGGCCCAUAAAUGAGCCAAAGAGCCACCUACCGACCCAACCAAGACUGACAGAAAUCAGACCUGAUCAGUUUGACCAUAGCAGACAGGCAGCAGUGCCGGUCGUGGUGAACACCCUGAGAAAGUGCACUGACAAGCAGACCCUCACACCAACAGUGCGCGCGUCGUAAGCAAACGAUUCACACAUACCCACCAAAAAGGAAGGCACCUGCGGUUAAACAGACACUGAAGGCGGCCAGUAUGCCCAAGUACAAAUCACACUCAUCAGCUGAAUUCCCAGAGCUUGCAGUUCAGCUCCACCCGUUUACCUUUGAGCGGUUUCACGCACUGUUUACUCUCUCUUCAAAGUACUUUUCAACUUUCCCUCACGGUACUUGUUUGCUAUCGGACUCGUGUAAGUAUUUAGCCUUGGAUGGAGUUUACCACCCACUUUGGGCUGCAUUCACAAACAACCCGACUCCAAGGGUAGCUCAGAGCAAAACUGUCACACUUGAUCUCUGCCCCCACGGGCCUUUCACCCUCUUUGGGCCAGAAUGGGAAGCCGUACUCAUUGCUGGACUUGGGACAGAGCAGUAAUGCCUGAAGCCACCCUAAACACCACAUUGCCUUACGAUCAAAUAACCGCAGGCUUCGGUGUUGGGCUAAUCCCUGUUCACUCGCAGUUACUAGGGGAAUCCUUGUUAGUUUCUUUUCCUCCGCUUAGUGAUAUGCUUAAGUUCAGCGGGUAAUCACGUCUGAUCCGAGGUCGGGGUCAAUUAAAUAAUUCGUGCAUAAUACACACACAAUCGGUACAAACCAUAGACCAAACCAGAGACAAGAUCAAGUGAUUAACGUAGCAUACGAUAGGUGCGAAUUAUCCCGAGCGUGUAUAAUAUCAUUAAGCCACGACUCGAGCACAACCCACCGCAGCAUCUCAAUCAAGUCAUCUAGACCAGACUAGGCUGUGGC
rnacentral:rRNA from 11 species